UGGGAGUAGGAUCAGCGGAUGCGAAGUCGGUUGCGAAGAGGUGCUAACGAGGAAGCGACGUGGCUCCUCGUGCUAAGGGUGCGAAGCACGACUCAUGCGCCUCUUGGCUCAUCGCACAUGUUGUCCGACCUUGGCUCCUCUGGGCUCAUUGCACCUGUGGUCCAACCUCAGCCUCGGCACCUCGGACGAGCACAGGCACAAGGAACCUCGGACGAGCAGGGCCUCAGUCUGAUGACCUCAGCUCUGGGUCGCACAGGUGCAAGGAACCUCGGACGAGCAGGGCCUCAGUCUGAUGACCUCAGCUCUGGGUCGCACAGGUGCAAGGAACCUCGGACGAGCAGGGCCGACGAGCACAGGCACGGGCGCAAGGAAACUCUGACGAGCAGGGCACAUGCGCAAAGAACCUCUGGUCGCACAGGCACAAGAAACCUCGGACGAGCAGGGCCUGUGAGGCGCAAGGAACCUCGGACGAGCAGGGCCGAGCGAGCACAGGCUCGGGUGCAAAGACCGUCGGGUCGGACGAGCACAUCCUUCACGUAAAUAAAUCCUCCAUAUGAGAAUUUUAAAAUGGAGGGAAAAGAGAUUCGAACCACCUACCUCAAGCACCUCAAACGGGCACACCAACCAUCCAC
rnacentral:lncRNA from 1 species